UACGGAGGGAGCUAGCGUUGCUCGGAAUCACUGGGCGUAAAGGGUGCGUAGGCGGGUCUUUUAAGUCAGGGGUGAAAUCCUGGAGCUCAACUCCAGAACUGCCUUUGAUACUGAAGAUCUUGAGUUCGGGAGAGGUGAGUGGAACUGCGAGUGUAGAGGUGAAAAUUCGUAGAUAUUCGCAAGAACACCAGUGGCGAAGGCGGCUCACUGGCCCGAUACUGACGCUGAGGCACGAAAGCGUGGGGGAGCAAACAGG
rnacentral:rRNA from 1 species